rnacentral:rRNA from 1 species
CCUACGGGAGGCUGCAGUGGGGAAUAUUGGACAAUGGGGGGAAUCCUGAUCCAGCCAUGCCGCGUGUGUGAAGAAGGCCCUCGGGUUGUAAAGCACUUUCAGUGAGGAAGAACGCCUGGUGGUUAAUACCCAUCAGGAAAGACAUCACUCACAGAAGAAGCACCGGCUAACUCCGUGCCAGCAGCCGCGGUAAUACGGAGGGUGCGAGCGUUAAUCGGAAUUACUGGGCGUAAAGCGCGCGUAGGUGGCUUGAUAAGCCGGUUGUGAAAGCCCCGGGCUCAACCUGGGAACGGCAUCCGGAACUGUCAAGCUAGAGUGCAGGAGAGGAAGGUAGAAUUCCCGGUGUAGCGGUGAAAUGCGUAGAGAUCGGGAGGAAUACCAGUGGCGAAGGCGGCCUUCUGGACUGACACUGACACUGAGGUGCGAAAGCGUGGGUAGCAAACAGGAUUAGAUACCCCGGUAGUC